ACAAGUUUAGGGCUCUUUGAGCCGUGGUCCAAGUGUAGUGUCUGUUCUUAUCAGUUUAAUAUCUGAUAUGUUCUUUAUUUGAGAGGUGUAGGAGUUGUUAAUAUGUUCUUUAUUUGAGAGGUGUAGGAGUUGUUAGCUCACAGUUCUGCGCUCUCACUACUAGGGUCCCUGCCUUCUUUUUAGCAUCGGGGCAGAUUUAA